rnacentral:rRNA from 1 species
AUUGAACGCUGGCGGCAGGCCUAACACAUGCAAGUCGAACGGUAACAGGAAGAAGCUUGCUUCUUUGCUGACGAGUGGCGGACGGGUGAGUAAUGUCUGGGAAACUGCCUGAUGGAGGGGGAUAACUACUGGAAACGGUAGCUAAUACCGCAUAAUGUCGCAAGACCAAAGAGGGGGACCUUCGGGCCUCUUGCCAUCGGAUGUGCCCAGAUGGGAUUAGCUAGUAGGUGGGGUAACGGCUCACCUAGGCGACGAUCCCUAGCUGGUCUGAGAGGAUGACCAGCCACACUGGAACUGAGACACGGUCCAGACUCCUACGGGAGGCAGCAGUGGGGAAUAUUGCACAAUGGGCGCAAGCCUGAUGCAGCUAUGCCGCGUGUAUGAAGAAGGCCUUCGGGUUGUAAAGUACUUUCAGCGGGGAGGAAGGGAGUAAAGUUAAUACCUUUGCUCAUUUACGUUACCCGCAGAAGAAGCACCGGCUAACUCCGUG